rnacentral:misc_RNA from 1 species
UUGGCAACAGCGCCAAACAUUCCGUCCGUUUCAUUCAGUUUGAAGAAUAGUGCUGAAGGGAAGCCAACGUUGUGGAUAGGCUUAUGGCUUACAUUUUAUGACUGGUUGGAAAAAUGAAAUUUGUGUUUGUUAUCUGUUGACAAAUUUUUGCUAGUGAUUCCCAGUGACUUAGAUAGCUCAAGUUCAGUUCGUAAAAAUAAGAUUGGAGUUUUUCGUCGAUGAUUGACUUUUUGAUAAUUUCCAGGAUUUAUUGUGAUUUUGAUUACAUACUAAUUAAAAAUGUAAUUAAAUGACUUAUCAACUUCUACGAUAGAAGAAGAUGGAUUUGGCUUCAACUCCUGUGAUUAAAACUGACCAGACAAGGAGUAACCCCGGGGCGCCAACUGCCGCCAUGCUGAAGAAUGUGCCUUCUCAGCAGGGCCGGUUCAUCACCAGUCUCCAGCAGAGCAAUGCCCCUCCGGCAUUGUCAUCAGUAACUCCUGGAAUAAGCCAAGCUUCUGUUACCAAACAGGCAAUGAACUCUGUGAGUCGUUUGACAGCACUUCCGGUGCAUUCUUCUUCAACUUCCUCAACGUAUCAUGUUCCAAGAGGCGCCGCGGCCGUAGCUAACAUUGCAGUGCCAAGAUCGUCCUUAGCCACGCCCAUUCGAGGGCCUUCAACCAAUCUGCAAUCUCUUGGUGUAGCCGCUUCAAAUAAUUCAACUAUUGUGCGGCACUCAACGCCUCAGCAUAGUGGCACAAUAGGAGUGCGGCCCCCGCAGCAGCACAUGGUGGGCGGGGGUGGGGGCGGCAGUGCGCCCCCCUCUACAUGGCUCAGCAACAACUCAUCGCAGGCCUCAGCACCCUCCCGCUCCGUGCCCCUCCCUACCACCACCGCCACGCAUUUCAAUCGUGCCACGACCAUCGGUGUGACAAGACUCACAACACCACUGGCCACUGGGAGAGUAGUGACGGACAGCCUAUCGAGGCCUGUUCUCUUGCAGACGGCACCUCAUAAACACAUCAACAUUUCGAAUAUCAAUCAACAAGCACAGAUGCACAUAAACGACAAGACAUUCCUGAAGACGACGGGCGUUCGGCCGCAGACGGCGGUGAUUGGAGGGGGCAGCCGAGUGGCCGGGGGGCCGAUUUCCGCCUCCGCCUCCUCCCUUAACAGGAUAACCGCCUCCGCGUCCGCCACCCCGGCGACAGUCGUAUCGCUGCACCCCAACACCGUUCUUGUACAAACUCCCUCUGUGCCUCACACCAAACCUGCAAGUCACCACCAGCCACCUAAGUUUGUGGCGCAGUCGCCGCACAUCCAGAUGCAGACUGUGGUGAACUCGAUCGGCAGCAGCACGCAACCUUCACUGACAACUGUCAGCAAGCCGCCGAUUGCGUUCGUGGCCGCAGGCGGCAGCGGUAGCGGCACGAGGCCGCCCGCACUGCACGGCAUUGCCAACGCAGCCGCAGCCGCAGCCUGUCCCAAAGUAUUAGCAUCCGUCGAGCCGUCGCCGUCCGCGGCGCCCGCCGCCGCCAUCUUUGCUGUGCAGCAGACUGCGCACAAGCCACCGGUGUCUUCGGUAACAGUGCCGACAGUGGGUGGUGUUUCUUUGUCGUCGAAUACGGGGGUGGGUAGCGGUGGAGGUCCGCAGCCAGGGGGUGGCGCCGCAGCCGCCCAGUUUGAGCCGCAGCCGCAGCUGCGUGCAGUCGCAGCCGCAACCACCUCUGCAGCCACGCAGCCCACGCAUGCGCAGCACACGCACACGCCAAUCACCUGUCGACCGGCUUCCAGUAUUGUUACAAAUAGUCAACCUACAGUAAGAUAUAAUCCAGUUAUGGUUGUGGAUCACAAUAGACAAGCUUCUUUACACCAUUUUGUCAACAAUCCGCCUUCUGAAGCAGCAGCAGCAGCAGCAGCAGCGAAUAAUCAGCAGACAGCUGAGGGUUCAUCAACAACAUCAUCAUCAUCUUCAUCAGUACCUGUAUCUACGACCUCUCUCUUACAAACUCCAACCAAACCAAAUGCUUCUCCAAGACCAAGUAUACUUAGAAAGAGAGAGUCUGAAGGUACGCCGCUGAAAGCGCAGAAGAACCUGACGCCGCUGCUGACGUCACUAUCCUCAGCGUCGGUGCCGCCCCCGCCCUGUAGCAGCGUUUCGCCGCCGCCCCCGCGACCCGAGUCGAGAGGCGGCAGCGGAGGCGGCAACGGAGGCGGCCUGUCAUCGGGUGGCUCCACCACCAUCUCUGCCACCUCCUCGCCCGGGCUAGCGGUGGGAGACCGCGAUUCGCCGCCCCCGGGUCUGCCUCCGAGUCUGCCUCUGCCCCCGAGUCUGUCCCUGCUCGCCAAGCAGGACGGCAUCCAGCCGGAGCCGCCGCCCCUCGAGAUGAGUCCCCGCAAGAAGCCCAGGAAACAACAACUAAAAGUAUGGAGCAUGUGUGGGGCUGCUAGACAACGACUCACGCACGCGCGUAUGCGAGCACACGCAACUCAAUUAUUUGAACUGGUAAUCAAAUGCAUGAGCCAAAACAGGUGGAAAUGGAGUUCAUAUCCGAAGAAAAACUACGAAAGGAAUCCAAAGACGGUGACCUAGGCGACAUGUCUCCAUCAGAACAUAUGACGCCGAAGGUGGGACUUCAUCACCAUCACCAGCAGCAUCAGCAGAAACGACGCAACAUCUCGCUGCUGAGCGGCUACAGGCAGCCGUGGAAGUCGCGGCAUCACCACUUCCUGCGCUACACCGAUGUGAGGCCCAAGGAGGAGCGGCGACCCACCAUCAACGAGAUCGCCAGCCAGAAGAUGGUCCAGCAGAAGGCCAACGGCUGGAAGCUGUACCAUAUCGGCACGCAGAUGCAGUGUCUGUCUGAUUUGGAAACCGAAGUCUUGGAGAAGCUGACAGAUAUGUUGAAAGUUCUGGAGAGAAAACCUGGAAAGGAGCUCGACAAAGACAUCAAUAGAGUGAACGAAUUAAUCAAGGGCAAUAUUCAACGCUGUAAAGUAAUCAAAGAUCAAAUGCAAGAAGCAAAAUCUCAGGUAAUGAAGAUGUUCGAUCACAAAGGUCAUGUGUUAGAGAUCCUCACUCGUUGUUCCAGUAAACGUUCUGUGAAAAAAAGAGAUAGAAUGUGAACCUGUGCGUAUGUGAAAGUGAGAAGGACUUACUGUUUGAUAUUGUGUAAUUAUUUGUAUUGAUUUGCAUACAAUUCGACAAAAAGAAUCUUAAAAGUCGUGUCAAUGUACAGACAUUGGUGACAUCGGCUUUUCAGAUUCUUUGACAUUUGGUAUUUAGUGUAAAGGGUUUAGUAGCAGGAAUUUUCUACAAAAAUUGUAAAGUAACUCAUUGAAUUGUCUGUAAAAAUGUGUAAAUAGUUGCUAUGAAAUAAUUGUAAAUUUUAUUAUAUCUUUUCUAAAUGUACAAAUAGGUCGUGAACGUUAUAAUGAUCUGCACAGUUGAGAUAAGUACAAUCAAGUGUUGAUGGAUUUUGAGUCAUAUCAGUUAGUUCUUCCGGUGCUGUUCUCAGUUCAUUUUGGAUGAUCGGUGGCUCUAUCUCAAACUCAUUCUAUCCAUCCUCUGAACCUCAAUGCAGAGUGGCUGGUCCUUUUCGUUUCAUGAGUAGAAAUUAUUGUUUUCAUUGAUAUUAUAAAUGCUUUCACGGAAUCCUCAUUGGUUAGCAACUGGUUGUUAUAAUAUUAUUAUUGGUUCUAUUCUGAGCAAAUCACAGCUUUAAAACUUGUGAAUCGAAUCCCAAUAAUUUGAACGAGAUUGGUUGCAUUCUAAAUGUUGACUGCUUGGCACAUUCCAAGAUACGAAUGAAUGAGGUUUAUUACUUCAGAGAUGUGGUCUCGAUGACUUUUAACAGAUCCCUUCUAAAAGGGAAUAGUUUAUACUGAAAUUUAUAAAUGAUGAUAUUAUUUUCUCUGUAAUAUUAUAAGCAAUCAACAACAAUAUCUUAGAACAUUCGUGCAAAUUAAUAACGGAAUCUCUGUUAUUUAUUCAUGUAUUUAUUAAAAUUCUAUUUAAUAAAAUAGAAUAUAAUUAA